UACGUAGGGUCCGAGCGUUGUCCGGAAUUAUUGGGCGUAAAGGGCUCGUAGGCGGUUUGUCGCGUCGGGAGUGAAAACACGGGGCUUAACCCCGUGCCUGCUUCCGAUACGGGCAGACUAGAGGUAUGCAGGGGAGAACGGAAUUCCUGGUGUAGCGGUGAAAUGCGCAGAUAUCAGGAGGAGCACCGGUGGCGAAGGCGGUUCUCUGGGCAUUACCUGACGCUGAGGAGCGAAAGUGUGGGGAGCGAACAGG
rnacentral:rRNA from 1 species